AUAAUUCACAUUUAUUGCUUAAUUUGUUUUUGUGGAGAGACGACUAAAGACGAAGUCAAUCUGGCGAGCCUCCGGUGUCUCCUUUAGCACGUGACUUGUACCAAUCGAAGGCUUAAAACAUGGCGAACCCUAUGGCGGUGUUCGAUUCUCUAAUCGUGCGUCGGUAGUAGUUCUGUCAAGACUAAAGUGUGAAAAGCGUUAGGGCUUUUGGUAAAUGGAACAACAGUGAUAGUGUGAAAAGCGUUAGGUUCUUCGGAUGACUAUCAGAGAGGGCUGACAAGUAGAACAUGGUGUCGGAGACUCACAACCAAGUUGUAUGAUGGACUUUCCUUAUCACUAGGCCUAGGCAUCAUUUUCAGAGUCCGAGGAGCUUAACAUCUUGGUGCAGUCAGGCUCUAUGUGUUUGGAAAUUCAAUAAUUAAGAUGACGUUUGCUAAGUACCUCCCAGCAGUCGAUCUUACAGCUAACAUGAGAGAGCUUCUAACGGAGUUGUAAUUGUAACCGAAAAGAAGCUCCCAUCCAUUUUAGUCGAUGAGACAUCGGUGCAAAAGAUCCAGAUUUUGACUCCUAAUAUUGGAGUUGUUUACAGCUAUUUAAGAUGAAUUUGUCUUAGAGCUUUCGCUUGCACGUUUGAAGGCUUAUGCUGAAUUUGUCUUUGGUAUGGGUUUAUAUCAGGGUGUUCCGUCUACUCUUGCUUUCAUAGCCUUCGAACUCCCACCUAAUGGAGCUAUUGGCACUCGGAUUCUGGAGUUCCUAUUUCGCUCCAGAUCUGAUAUGAUUGCAGGUGAUCAAUCGCCAGAAGCAUUGAUGAGGCUAUAACAACUGGCACUACACUCUUGUUGUCAUCUUCUACAUUUGUUCUACAGGUAUAUUGCUCAUAUAUGUAUUACAAUAUAAAUGAAAGAGCUCAUGCAUUUCUUUAACGUGUUUGAAAAAUUUUGUAAUUUGAUUUACUGGAAUGAAAGUCCCCUUGUAACA
rnacentral:lncRNA from 1 species